AAAGUCGUAACAAGGUUUCCGUAGGUGAACCUGCGGAAGGAUCAUUACCGAGUUAGGGUCUUCUCAGGCCCGACCUCCCAACCCCAUGUCUACUUGACCACUUGUUGCUUCGGCGGGCCCGUCUUCACCGACCGCCGGGGGACCGUCAAAACGUCCUCUGGCCCGCGUCCGCCGACGGCCGUCAUCAAAACUCUUGUCUAAAACGUGUCAUUUGUCUGAGUAAAUUUAUGAAAAUAAGCAAAAAAACUUUCAACAACGGAUCUCUUGGUUCUG
rnacentral:misc_RNA from 1 species